AAAAAAAGUUCCUGUUCUGUGUUAAUGAGGAGGUUGGGUCUGAGAGGCCUCCAGUGGAUACCCAGAAGAAAACAACCUGUCCAAAACGUCAGCGUCACGUGAAGCAUGAUGACCUUUAAACAGUUUCAACCAAGAAAAGACCUUUUGGGGGGAAGGCAGGUGUGUAGUUUCAAGCAGUGGCUGCUACGCUGACAUCACCCUCCUCUGAGACUGCACCACAAUCAGGACUGGACCGAAGGGUCCACUUACCUAAGUGAGAUGCUGGAGUGAGGAAGUUUCCAGGAUGGUGGGGCGGAUGUCCAAAGGGACCUGCUGAUGGGUGUGUAGGACCUGAGGAGCCAAUGACAGAAGGCAUGAGGAAAACAUCCAUCAACUAUGGACUGUGAUAUUACCAAAAAGCAGUGAUACACACACACACACACUCACUCACCUGCAGCGGAGAAGAGCGUGGCGGGCCGUGCCAGGUCGUUGGGGUGAUGGAUGGCGCCGAAGAGGCUGGGGCCCGGAGG